CCUACGGGUGGCUGCAGUGGGGAAUAUUGGGCAAUGGGCGCAAGCCUGACCCAGCAACGCCGCGUGAAGGAAGAAGGCUUUCGGGUUGUAAACUUCUUUUCUGAGGGACGAAGAUAGUGACGUUACCUCAGGCAUCAGCCACGGCCAACUACGUGCCAGCAGCCGCGGUAAUACGUAGGUGGCAAGCGUUAUCCGGAUUGAUUGGGUGGAAAGGGCGUGUAGGCGGGAAAGCAAGUCAGAUGUGAAAACUCAGGGCACAACCCUGAGCCUGCAUUUGAAACUGUUUUUCUUGAGUGCGGGAGAGGCAAGCGGAAUUCCGAGUGUAGCGGUGAAAUGCGUAGAGAUACGGAGGAACACCAGUGGCGAAGGCGGAUUGCUGGACAGUAACUGACGCUGAGGCGCGAAAGCGUGGGGAGCAAACAGGAUUAGAUACCCGAGUAGUC
rnacentral:rRNA from 1 species